rnacentral:rRNA from 1 species
CUACGGGGGGCUGCAGUGGGGAAUAUUGCACAAUGGGCGCAAGCCUGAUGCAGCCAUGCCGCGUGUAUGAAGAAGGCCUUCGGGUUGUAAAGUACUUUCAGCGGGGAGGAAGGGAGUAAAGUUAAUACCUUUGCUCAUUGACGUUACCCGCAGAAGAAGCACCGGCGAACUCCGUGCCAGCAGCCGCGGUAAUACGGAGGGUGCAAGCGUUAAUCGGAAUUACUGGGCGUAAAGCGCACGCAGGCGGUUUGUUAAGUCAGAUGUGAAAUCCCCGGGCUCAACCUGGGAACUGCAUCUGAUACUGGCAAGCUUGAGUCUCGUAGAGGGGGGUGGAAUUCCAGGUGUAGCGGUGAAAUGCGUAGAGAUCUGGAGGAAUACCGGUGGCGAAGGCGGCCCCCUGGACGAAGACUGACGCUCAGGUGCGAAAGCGUGGGGAGCAAACAGGAUUAGAUACCCCGGUAGUC